UACAGAGGGUGCAAGCGUUUAAUCGGAAUUACUGGGCGUAAAGCGUGCGUAGACGGUUAUGUAAGUCAGAUGUGAAAGCCCCGGGCUUAACCUGGGAAUGGCAUUUGAGACUGCAUAGCUAGGGUGCGGAAGAGGGAAGCGGAAUUUCCGGUGUAGCGGUGAAAUGCGUAGAUAUCGGAAGGAACACCAGUGGCGAAAGCGGCUUCCUGGUCCAGCACCGACGUCAGGCACGAAAGCGUGGGGAGCAAACAGG
rnacentral:rRNA from 1 species